rnacentral:lncRNA from 1 species
CAAUAUUCAAAUGUAGCAUGUUCCAAUUCCAAUCAGGAAUUCUGUUAUCACAGUAUCGGUGAAUCCAGUCUGCGAAGUUACUUUUCAUAAAAAUGCUUUAAACUUUAUUUACCAUUGCCUUACUCACUCAUUCAGUUGACAUCUAUUGCAUCAACUGCUGCAAAAGCAAGAAUAAAGCAGGACUCUCAUCAUCAUCAUCAUCUUGGAAAUUUCUGUACUGCUUCAUCAAUCUACUACGAAGAGCCAGUCACAGACCUAUCUAAGAGUCAACUAAAUACCAAACACCCUAGAAACAGCUGACAAAACAAAUUUCAUUCUGAAGACUAUGUAAGGAUGAUGAAAAAGGAGAGAAUGGCACAUAUCAAAUCUUAUGUCAUGAAAGAAAACAGUUACCAGAUCUAUAAGCUGAUCUUACUGUAGGAGCAAGGACACAUUGCAUUCACUUGGUCUCUUCCACAGAAAGAGGAUGUAGGAAGCAGAGUAAAUAACUGGUUUGUAGGAAUUCUUCACAUUACAAUGAAGUAAAAAAAAAGUGAAGAGAUGAGAGCAGUAGAGAAGUUUUGUGUGCUAGUUAUGCUGCUGGACAGCUGUAACUCAUCCAGGACCCUCCAGGCUAUUUACUUAGCAAUCCAUUAACCACUGCUAAUUUUCUCCUUGAAAAUCACUUAUUUUCUUAUAUAAAACAGGGAGGCAAUUGUUCUUCACACUGGAAAGUGUAACACACACACAUACACACACCACUUGGCUCUGUUAGUGUCUUACUUGCGUGGCCCACACAAUCUGGCACUACUGUCACAGUAGAGCUCUAUCAACCCCACACGAGACCUCCCCAGACUCUUUGCACCCUUGCACUCGCAGUGUUCCCCUCUCAGUCAUCACAGUGGGGCCUUUUCCAGCCCAAGGAGGGAGAAUUACUGCAAAUGAGAUCAUGGAACAAAUCAGAGGUAGUUUUGCCAUUGCAGUACUGCAUUCAUGGGAAAAUGAGAAGAAAUCUUCUUGUAGUGAGUCAGCUCAUCCACCAUGUCCCUUUCUUUGCUCUUCAGGUAAGUAAAAUAUAUUUGCACACCUGA